rnacentral:rRNA from 1 species
UGAGCAACCUGCCCUUAGCUCUGGGAUAACCCCGGGAAACCGGGGCUAAUACCGGAUACGAGUCCGAGCGGCAUCACACGGACUGGAAAGUUUUUCGGCUAAGGAUGGGCUCGCGGCCUAUCAGCUUGUUGGUGGGGUAAUGGCCCACCAAGGCGACGACGGGUAGCCAGCCUGAGAGGGCGACCGGCCACACUGGGACUGAGACACGGCCCAGACCUCCUACGGGAGCAGCA